AGCUUCAUUUCGGAAGAAAAGAUGGUUGUGGUGGAGGCGUUUCUGUCUUCCUUGUUUGAGGUGGUGCUGGACAAGCUGGUGGCUACCCCUUUGUUAGAUUAUGCACGCCGGAUCAAAGUAGACACAGCAGUGCUCCAGGAGUGGAGGAACACUUUGUUGCAUCUCCAAGCAGUGCUGCAUGAUGCUGAGCAGAGGCAGAUUCGGGAGGAAGCGGUGAAGAGGUGGGUGGACGAUCUCAAAGCUUUAGCUUACGACAUCGAAGAUGUCCUGGACGAGUUUGACAUGGAGGCUAAGCGAUGCAGUUGGGUACAAGGGCCCCAAACCAGCACCAGCAAGGUACGGAAGCUUAUCCCCUCUUUUCAUCCUAGCGGUGUGAUAUUCAAUAAGAAGAUUGGUCAAAAGAUCAAGAUAAUCACCCAGGAAUUAGAUGCGAUUGUAAAAAGAAAGUCUGAUCUCCAUCUGACACAGAGUGUUGGAGGGGUGUCAUCAGUGACUGAACAAAGGUUGACUACUUCUUUGAUAGAUAAGGCUGAGUUUUAUGGUAGGGAUGGUGAUAAGGAGAAGAUCAUGGGAUUGUUGCUAUCUGAUGAAAUAGCUACUGCUGAUAAGGUUCAGGUGAUUCCGAUUGUUGGUAUGGGUGGGGUUGGAAAAACAACCCUCGCUCAAAUGAUCUAUAACGACGAGAGGAUUGGGGACAAUUUCGAUAUCAGAGUUUGGGUGUGUGUAUCUGAUCAGUUUGAUUUGGUAGGGAUAACGAAAGCAAUUUUAGAGUCGGUCUCUGAGCAUUCAUCUGAUACUUCUAAUACACUGCAAUCACUACAAGAUAGUUUGCAGAAAAAGUUGAAUGGAAAAAGGUUUUUCCUUGUUUUGGAUGAUAUAUGGAAGGAGGACCCCAAUAGCUGGAGUACCUUACAAGCUCCUUUUAGAAAUGGAGCACAAGGCAGUGUGGUAAUGGUAACAACUCGUCUUGAAGAUGUUGCAUCUAUUAUGCGCACCACCUCUUCCCAUCAUCUUAGUAAACUCUCUGAUGAAGAUUGUUGGUCACUAUUUGCAGGCAUUGCCUUCGAAAACGUAACUCCAGAUGCCCGCCAAAACUUGGAACCUAUUGGUAGGAAAAUAAUAAAGAAAUGUGACGGUUUGCCUUUGGCUGCAAAUACAUUGGCAGGUCUGUUGCGCUGUAAACAAGAUGAGAAGACUUGGAAGGAUAUGCUGAACAGCGAAAUAUGGGAUUUACGAACAGAACAAAGUAGAAUUCUUCCGGCUCUACACUUGAGUUACCAUUACCUCCCUACAAAAGUGAAGCAGUGCUUUGCAUAUUGUUCCAUCUUUCCAAAGGAUUAUGAAUUUCAAAAGGAGGAGUUAAUUUUGUUGUGGGUGGCGCAAGGUUUAGUGGGUAGCUUGAAAGGAGGGGAGAUGAUGGAAGAUGUUGGUGAAAUAUGUUUUCAGAACCUAUUAUCAAGGUCAUUCUUUCAACAAUCCGGUCAUAAUAAGUCGAUGUUUGUGAUGCAUGAUUUGAUUCACGAUUUGGCUCAAUUUGUAUCCGGAGAAUUUUGUUUCAGAUUGGAAAUGGGACAGCAAAAAAAUGUUUCAAAGAAUGCUCGACAUUUGUCAUACGAUCGUGAAGAAUUUGAAAUCUCCAAGAAAUUUGAUCGUCUUCAUGAAAUUGAUAAAUUACGGACCUUCCUACCAUUAAGUAAGCCUGGUUAUGAAUUACAUUGCUACUUAAGUGAUAAAAUUCUACACGAUGUAUUGCCGAAAUUCAGAUGUAUGCGGGUUUUAUCCUUAUCUUACUAUAAUAUCACUUAUUUGCCCGAUUCAUUUGGAAAUUUGAAACAUUUGUGGUAUUUGAACCUUUCUAACACUGAAAUUCGGAAGUUACCUAAAUCAAUAGGUAUGCUUUUGAAUUUGCGAUCAUUGAUUUUGUCAGAAUGUCGUUGGCUUACCGAGUUACCGGCCGAGAUUGGAAAGCUCAUCAACUUGCGUCAUUUGGAUAUCUCUAGAACAAAAAUAGAAGGGAUGCCAAUGGGAAUCAAUGGAUUAAAAGAUCUUCGAAUGUUGACUACUUUUGUUGUUGGCAAGCAUGGUGGUGCAAGACUCGGGGAGUUACGAGAUCUUGCACACCUGCAAGGAGUACUCUCCAUUUUAAACUUACAGAAUGUGGAGAAUGUGGAGAAUGCUACAGAAGUUAAUUUGAUGAAAAAGGAAGACCUUCAGGACUUAGUGUUUGCAUGGGAUCCAAAUGCGAUUGUUGGUGACUUGGAGAUUCAAACCAAAGUUCUCGAAAAGCUUCAGCCUCAUAACAAGGUGAAAAGGCUCAGCAUUGAAUGCUUCUAUGGCAUAAAAUUUCCAAAAUGGUUAGAGGAUCCUUCGUUCAUGAAUUUAGUUUUCUUACAACUUAGAGAUUGUAAAAAUUGCUUGUCUUUGCCGCCACUUGGGCACUUACAGUCUCUCAAGGAUCUCUGUAUUGUGAAGAUGGCUGAUGUGCGAAAGGUAGGUGUAGAGUUGUAUGGGAAUAGCUAUUGUAGUUCAACUUCAAUUAAGCCAUUUGGAUCCCUAGAGAUUCUGAGGUUUGAAGAGAUGUUAGAGUGGGAGGAAUGGGUUUGUCGUGGAGUUGAAUUCCCUUGUUUGAAGGAGCUUUAUAUCAAGAAAUGUCCAAAGCUGAAAAAGGAUUUACCCAAACACCUUCCUAAAUUAACAAAACUUGAGAUUAGUAAAUGCGGGCAGCUGGUGUGUCGUCUUCCAAUGGCUCCCUCCAUGCGUGAAUUGAUGUUGGAGGAAUGUGAUGAUGUGGUUGUUAGGAGUGCGAGCAGUCUCACCUCGUUGGCUUCUUUGGAUAUAAGCAAUGUUUGUAAAAUACCAGAUGAAUUGGGCCAACUGCAUUCUCUUGUACAGUUGUCUGUGCGUUGUUGUCCCGAGCUAAAGGAAAUGCCACCCAUUCUUCACAGCCUUACCUCUCUUAAAAACUUGAACAUCCUGCAAUGUGAGAGUCUUGCAUCUUUUCCGGAGAUGGCGCUGCCAACCAUGCUUGAAAGGCUUCAAAUCAGAUACUGUCCCAUUCUGGAGUCCCUACCAGAGGGAAUGAUGCAAAAUAAUACGACUCUGCAACACUUGUUCUUCAUGGAUUGUGAUUCUCUGAGGUCCUUGCCCAGGGACAUUGAUUCAUUGAAGACACUUUCAAUCUUCGACUGUAAGAAAUUGGAGUUAGCAUUCCAGGAGGAUAUGACGCACAACCACUACGCUUCCCUUACCAAAUUCAGCAUAACUGAUAGUUGUGAUUCUCUCACGUCCUUUCCAUUAGCCUCCUUCACAAAGCUUGAGUAUCUUCUUAUCGAAAAUUGUGGAAAUCUGGAGUCCCUUUACAUUCCAGAUGGACUUCACCACGUGGAUCUCACAUCUCUCCAGUCAUUAACUAUAGCUGAUUGCCCUAAUCUGGUAUCUUUUCCACGAGGAGGAUUGCCCACUCCCAAUUUAAGACUGCAUUGGAUACGUAACUGCGAAAAGCUCAAGUCACUGCCCCAAGGGAUGCACACCCUCCUUACAUCCCUUCAACAUUUGUAUAUAGAUGAUUGUCCAGAAAUUGAUUCAUUUCCAGAAGGGGGUUUGCCCACUAAUCUAUCUGACCUUCACAUCAGGAAGUGCAACAAACUCGUGGCCAAUCAGAUGGAUUGGGGCUUGCAAACGCUUCUCUUUCUUAGAACGCUGACGAUUGAGGGAUGUGAGAAAGAAAGAUUUCCCGAGGAGCGAUUUCUGCCCUCCACUCUCACCUCCCUUAAAAUUGGGGGUUUUCCAAAUCUGAAAUCCCUGGACAAUAAGGGGUUUCAGCACCUCACCUCUCUUGAAACUCUGUGGAUUUCGAAAUGUGGAAACCUCAAGUCCUUCCCAAAACAGGGGCUGCCCUCCUCCCUUUCUCGUCUUAAAAUUGAUGACUGUCCUCUGCUGAAGAAACGGUGCCAAAGGGAUAAAGGGAAAGAAUGGCCCAACAUUUCUCACAUCCCCUGCAUAGCGUUCGACUUAGACGAUACGAAAAAUGAGGAGGUGAUCUUAUCAUGAGGCCCUUGCAUCGAAGCUCUUGCUCUCCUCUGCAUUUAUUGGCCCAGGAGUGUCUACUAUCUUGUUGUUGAUUGAGGAAGGUUGUCUACCAGAAUUGUUGGCUUCCUUGAUUUUCUACUUGGUUUUUGCAAGCACAUCAAAAUGUAGGGAGCAAAUGGAAAAAUCAUCCUCGUAAAGCUCAUGUAGACAAAUGAUUCCUAAUUCCAAGACAUCCACUUUAGAUUCUUCAAAUAUGGCAAAGGGUUCAACAAACGUAUUCAUAGCAACAAAGUGCCUAUUUCCAAUUAGCUUCCACAUUGGGCAUCAUUUAAGAAUUUGAAAGAAGUACUUGUACCUGCAUAACAAUGAGAGGUUCAUUUGAAGGAGGCACCAUUGAAGCAUGUCGGGGUGCAUUCUGUCGGGGAAGUAAAAGAUGGUUAAUCAGCCUUUCAGAAGUCAAAAUUAAAUCAGAGGUUCUAAACUUUUGGAACUCCAGUGCAAUGAAAAGAUAAAAUGAAAGGCUCUGACAAAUGUACUAACCGCCGCAAAGUGCCCUGCUUUCGAUAGGAUGGAGAUUUUGCCAAUAGAGAUAGCUUGUUGGAAGGUGAUGUAGAAUCAUAAAGACGUGGAAUCAUAUGGAAGAGAUAAGCAAAUGAUACACUUCCAAGUUCUCCUCUCUUGCAUGGGACUUAGGCUUCUGCCCAACUCAAUGGAUUUCUCAAAUACUUUCCUUCCUUCAUUUCCCAUUUUACUGGGGUUUUAUAUCUUGCUCCAUGCUGUCUAGGAACUCAAAAUUCCUCAGAUGUCCCUUUCAACUGUUCAUAAGGUUGUAAAUGUGCCUCAUAUAUGGCAGCUUGUUCAUGGAAUACUUGGAUGUGCAAUUCAAUGAUUGGGGUUCUCAUAGUUGCUACAAAUUUGGCGCAGAAUAUCACGCACACUCCAAUUAACUGGAUGACUUGACCAUCAGAACAAGCUAUUCAGUUUUGUUUUUUGUUUUUAAGCUCCCAUGAAAAGAUGGCAAGCAUUAGCCUUGGCCCAUGAAAGAAAGUCAUUCUCAUCAUAACUGAUUUAUAUGUCAACUAAAAUGGCAGCCACUUCACAUCUCUCCAACAUCUGCAGUUGUUGAAAACCUCCAUUGAUGGCAAGUUUCUUUCACUGUUUCCCAUGUACACAUAUGUUGUUCCCACAAACCAUGCAUCUUCUAUUCUCUCUUGGGAGAUGUUUUAUGAUGAGAUAUUGCUAUUUGUAUAUGAUAGGUAGGAUGUUCAGUGUCUUAGAGAUUCAACUUCUUGUGAGGUCAUUCCAAAUCUUAAAACUUGUUGCAUUCUCAGUAGAAGUGAUCUGUUUUCAAACUUUCAAAGCAGA